rnacentral:lncRNA from 1 species
UGUAUGCUUACAAUAAAGUAUUUGUUUAUACUGGAGACAUAGAAUUUGCUAAAACUACAAGAAAAUUAAUGGAAACAUAUCCUAUUACUUUCCAAAUUGAAUUAGCAACUACUCCUUAUUUACCUCAAAUAGAGAGUAACUUUGGAAAAUUUUAAUACACUUAAAGUGUGGAAUAGAAUAUUUAGGUAUACAUCAAAUAGUUAGAAAAUAUU